rnacentral:misc_RNA from 1 species
GAGCGUCAUUUAAACCUUCAAGCUCUGCUUGGUGUUGGGUGUUUGUUCUGCCCUUGUGCUGGACUCGCCUUAAAUUCAUUGGCAGCCGGUAUGUUGGCUUCGUGCGCAGCACAUUGCAAACGAUGCAAGCGUACCCCCUUCCAUUAAGCUCCUCUUUUUACUUUGACCUCGGAUCAGGUAGGGAUACCCGCUGAACUUAA